rnacentral:lncRNA from 7 species
AGCAGAGUAGGCAAGUGCUGAGGUUUGGCGUGAGUAGCAGCAAAAGCCCAUAGCAUCAAGAAGCAGGAAGUGAGGAGAAGGUAAGUGAAGGGCAGGCAAGGUAAUGGGAAGCAAGGCAAGGGAAAGGGGAGGGUAAGGGAGAAAGAGGGGAUGGGGAGGGGAGGGGAUGGGUGAAGAGCAGAGCGGAGGGAAGGGCUGAGGGGAGGGCUGAAGGCAAACCAAUGAUGAAAAAGAAAGAAAAAAUAAGCAAAAAAAUAUGAAAUAAGAGAAAAAAGAAAAGAAAAAUAAGAAAAAGAAAAAAAGAAAAGAAAAAAAAUGAAAAAAAAGAGAAAAAGAGAAAAGAAAAAAAUGACAAAAAAGAGAAAAAGAGAAAAGAAAAAAAUGAAAAAAAAAGAGAAAAAAGAGAAAAGAAAAAAAAUGAACAAAAAAGAGAAAAAGGAGAAAAGAAAAAAAUGAACAAAAAAGAGAAAAAAGAGAAAAGCUAAAAAAAGAAAAAAGAUAAAGAAAAAAGAGAAAAUAGAAAUAAAAAGAGGACAGAAAAUAUGAAAAAAAAGAAAAAAGAAAAAAAGAAAAGAAAAAAUAAUAGAUGAAAAAAAGAAAACGAAAGGAAAAAGGAUAAUGGCAAGAGAAGAAAGGUAAAGAGAAAAGAAGAAAACAGCCAAGUCAAAAAGUAAAGAAUAACUCGAAGGAAGGAGUGGAUGGCAAGAAAUACAGGGAAAGCAAUGCAUAGCACAGCAAAGCAAAGCAAGGCAAAAUAGCAGCCAAAGCCACGAGAAUCAAGAAGUCAGUGAAGAGCAGGAAAGGAAUGGAGGAAUCUGGCCAGAGCUGUGCCCCUGCUUGCCACAGGAGCUGCGCGGGAGGAGAAGAAUGUGGGCCAAAAGGUAAGAGGAGCUCCUUUGGGUUCUGGGCUUGAAGCAAAGCUGAGAAGCCAUGCCCGGGAGGAGGUGUGGGUAGCUACAGGCCACCUUGCUAUCUCCCCAAGAGAUGAGGUGUGUGGGCUAGGCACCGGGCAGGAGUGCUGGCCAGAAGCAAGCAUCUCUGUGGAGGAAGGCAAAGGGCGGAGGAGGUUCAAGGGUAGCUACCGGGCAUGGCCUUGCUCAGCAAGGGGAGGAAAAGCCUGAAGGGCACGAGAAGGGACAGAGAAGGGCAGGCAGUAGGCGUGAAGCUGUGAGCAGAGUAGAGAGCAACUUGGCGAGCAGCAAGCAGAGUAGGCAAGUGCUGAGGUUUGGCGUGAGUAGCAGCAAAAGCCCAUAGCAUCAAGAAGCAGGAAGUGAGGAGAAGGUAAGUGAAGGGCAGGCAAGGUAAUGGGAGCAAAGGCAAGGGGAAAGGGGAGGGUAAGGGAGAAAGAGGGGAUGGGGAGGGGAGGGGAUGGGUGAAGAGCAGAGCGGAGGGAAGGGCUGAGGGGAGGGCUGAAGGCAAACCAAUGAUGAAAAAGAAAAGAAAAUAAGAACAAAAAAUAUGAAAUAAGAGAAAAAAAAAGAAAAAUAAGAAAAAGAAAAAAGAA